GACGUAGGGCGCGAGCGUUGUCCGGAUUUAUUGGGCGUAAAGAGCUCGUAAGCGGCUUGUCGCGUCGUUCGUGAAAACCCACAGCUCAACUGUGGGCUUGCGGGCGAUACGGGCAAGCUAGAAUUCGGUAGGGGAGACUGGAAUUCCUGGUGUAGCGGUGAAAUGCGCAGAUAUCAGGAGGAACACCGGUGGCGAAGGCGGGUCUCUGGGCCGAAAUUGACGCUGAGGAGCGAAAGCGUGGGGAGCAAACAGG
rnacentral:rRNA from 1 species